UCUAGUCUCUUAGCAACUUGGGAGUUUAUGAUACAGUAUUGUUGACUGUAAUCGCUGGGCGGUGCAUUAGUUCUCCAGGACUUACUUAUCUGCUGCUUGCAAGUUUGUGCUCUUAAAUGCCUCCCCCGGCUGUGUGCCGGGAAAGCUUUGUUCACAAACACCGACAGCCGGCUGAACCUGGCUGCAGUUUGCAGGCCCCUGACUCUUCGUGGCAGCAACUAUUGUGGUGUAUCCUGCUGCUGUCUUUCGAGACAGAGAGAUGUCUACUGAGAGCUUUUCUCCACCUUGGUGUCUUUAUACUUAGGAUAGGGAGACGGGGCGCCCCUUAUGAGCUCUGGAGGGUGUUGGAGGAGCUCAUCGAGAGGACGUGCCCAGAGGUGGACCUUUGAGCUGGCCCCAGGCAGUCAGAGGAUCUUCACUUCCUCCCCUGUCCUUGGAAUGUGUGUUCUGCCCACUGUUCCCACUGUGGCAGCUGCUUCAAGGACGCAGCCUUGAGAGAGUAAGUGUUCUUGAGAACAUCUGGACGGAACACGUGACUGAGCCCCGUUAAGGCAUCUGUAUCAACUUGUAAGAUUCUAGUGGGUUGGCGUGGAGAUCCACUCGCCUUGCAGCGCCCAAGACAAGCCUGGGAGAACAUAAGCUCGGCAAGGCAGAGACUUGGUUGAAGUGGCCUACCCAUGUCUUCUGAGCCAGAGCUGAGCCCGACAUAGGUCUCACAGGCAAGGUUGCUCUCGCCUCCCCCACGGGAGGAAGCUGGCUGUCAGUCAUCUUCCAAGGUAUGCCACACCUGAGGAUCAUCCAGCAAGAAGAGGUCACCCCAUCAGAAGGGUGGACCCCAGGAGCCAGGACUUGGGGACAAAUGAAUUGAGAAAGUUUAUUUAAUGAAGCAAUCGUGAGAAGAAAAGUUUCCAAUUACACUCCAUUCCCACUUUCAAUCCCAGGGUCCUCUAAAGUGAUGAAACAUAUCAGUGGAGCUGCCGUCCCUUGUGUAUAUGUCUUCUUCUUAUUUUCUUCCUCUUGUUCAAAAAGUAUUCACUAUCAAAAAUUUGGAAUUUAGCAAUUCCAUUCAUGUUUUUACACUAUUUCCGCAAAUGUAUGUAUAUAUGCAUAGAAGCUUUAUAUAAAUGGAAUCAUACUGUACAGAGGCGUCAACUUUUAACGUUCCCUUUUCGAGGCUUAUCCUUAUUGACACAUGUAGCUCUAGUUCAUUCGUUUGCUUUGUGGUAUAGUAUUCUAUUUAUUUAUCCUUCUCUUGUUGAUGGUCAUACAGGUUGCUUCUGAGUUGUUGCUAAUGCAACGAUGAUGCAAUAAACAUUGCUGUACUCAUCUCUUCCAGCACAAGUGUGAGAUUCUUUUCCUGGAGUACACACCUGGAAAUAGAAUCUUUGGUUGUAAGGUAAUACAU